UAGGGAAUCUUCCACAAUGGACGCAAAUCUGAUGGAGCAACGCCGCGUGAGCGAAGAAGGUUUUCGGAUCGUAAAGCUCUGUUGUUGGUGAAGAAGGAUAGAGGUAGUAACUGGCCUUUAUUUGACGGUAAUCAACCAGAAAGUCACGGCUAACUACGUGCCAGCAGCCGCGGUAAUACGUAGGUGGCAAGCGUUGUCCGGAUUUAUUGGGCGUAAAGCGAGCGCAGGCGGAAGAAUAAGUCUGAUGUGAAAGCCCUCGGCUUAACCGAGGAACUGCAUCGGAAACUGUUUUUCUUGAGUGCAGAAGAGGAGAGUGGAACUCCAUGUGUAGCGGUGGAAUGCGUAGAUAUAUGGAAGAACACCAGUGGCGAAGGCGGCUCUCUGGUCUGCAACUGACGCUGAGGCUCGAAAGCAUGGGUAGCGAACAGGAUUAGAUACCCUGGUAGUCCAUGCCGUAAACGAUGAGUGCUAAGUGUUGGGAGGUUUCCGCCUCUCAGUGCUGCAGCUAACGCAUUAAGCACUCCGCCUGGGGAGUACGACCGCAAGGUUG
rnacentral:rRNA from 1 species